AACGAACGCUGGCGGCAGGCUUAACACAUGCAAGUCGAGCGCCCCGCAAGGGGAGCGGCAGACGGGUGAGUAACGCGUGGGAAUCUACCCAUCUCUACGGAAUAACGCAUGGAAACGUGUGCUAAUACCGUAUACGUCCUUCGGAAGAAAGACUUAUCGGAGAUGGAUGAGCCCGCGUUGGAUUAGCUAGUUGGUGGGGUAAAGGCCUACCAAGGCGACGAUCCAUAGCUGGUCUGAGAGGAUGAUCAGCCACACUGGGACUGAGACACGGUCCAGACUCCUACGGGAGGCAGCAGUGGGGAAUAUUGGACAAUGGGCGCAAGCCUGAUCCAGCCAUGCCGCGUGAGUGAUGAAGGCCCUAGGGUUGUAAAGCUCUUUCACCGGUGAAGAUAAUGACGGUAACCGGAGAAGAAGCCCCGGCUAACUUCGUGCCAGCAGCCGCCGUAAUAC
rnacentral:rRNA from 1 species